UACAGAGGGUGCGAGCGUUAAUCGGAAUUACUGGGCGUAAAGCGCGCGUAGGCGGCUUUGCAAGUCGGGUGUGAAAUCCCCAGGCUUAACCUGGGAACUGCAUUCGAGACUGCAUUGCUAGAGUAUGGGAGAGGGAAGUGGAAUUUCCGGUGUAGCGGUGAAAUGCGUAGAUAUCGGAAGGAACAUCAGUGGCGAAAGCGACUUCCUGGACCAAUACUGACGCUCAUGUGCGACAGCGUGGGGAGCAAACAGG
rnacentral:rRNA from 1 species